CCUGCCUGGCCGCCCUCCCGGAGUCCACGUGGGGGCCGGGCCACCAGCAGGCAUUUCCUCCCGCACGCCGCCCGCAGACCGCCGCAAGCUCCCGCGGCCUCGCCCGCGGGCUGCGCCGCCAUCGGCCGAUGAGCGAGGGGCCUUCGCGGCCCUGUGUGAGGCCGGACCCCGGCUCCCCGUCCAGGCUGGGUCUGGCCCGGCUGCCGUCCCAAGGCACGGCGCCCGAGUCUCCUCCGGGCGGCCCCGACCCUGCCAGGCCCACAGGUGACGGCAAACGCUGAAGCCGCCGCUCUCGGAGGCCGUCAGCGCGGGGAACCUGCUCCUGCUACAGCCCAGAAACACACAGCGCCGUUCAAUUUUAAUAAUACCCGUCGCUUUGGGACAUGAAAGCUCCACUCGAACCGCCUGCUUUUCACUUAAGAAGCACUCUGCCCCGACUUGGGGUGGGGGUGGGGGUCGGGGUCGGGAACAGAAUCAAACCAGGUCCUUGGCAGAUGCGGCGAGGCCUCCAGACCGCUUCCCACACACUCGCCUGGCCUCACACUGAGCACAGGGGUCAGUGGUGGCCACGGUCCCACGGUCACGGCACGAGACCCCUGGGCACCCCAUCUGGAGACCUCCUUCCCAAGGCCCACCCACCAUGGAAACUGCCACGAGGCCCCUCCUUUGAGCCACUUCCAGCCGGCGAGGGACUGUGGUCACGGGGUCCGAGAGGGUCCCUGGGGGCCAAACCGGGCUCUGGCCCUUCCCUCAGCUGCCCUCCCGUCCCUCCUGCCCUGUCCCCCCACCCAAUGAUCAUCUCUCCCCAGCCCUGCCCCUCCCAACCUCCCCAGUCCCCCUAGGGCAGAUGGUCUGUCCUGAACUCCAAGUCCACACCCUCCAGAGGCCUGGUCGGCAGGACCACCCUGUGCCCACCCCAGGAGCCGGCAGGUUCUCCUGUCUCCUCUCCGGUCUGGGCCCUAAGGACUCCUCGGGACAGUGCUCACCAGCGCUGCUGGGAACCCCGGAUCCCAGAGCCAGGCAACCAAGGACUCCCCUCUCUUACCAGGUUUGCGGGCCUCACCCCUGCCCGCUGGCCCGGCCAACCUCUCCUUCCUCACGUACCCCCCACAGCAGGCGGCUGGCCCUUGACCCGGAGGGCCCGGGUCCCUCCUCCUUCCCCUGCCUGCUGCCAGGAAGCCACACCCAGACCCCUUCCCACAGCUGCCCUGCCUCGUGGACUCCGGCCACCCAUCCCUCGAACCGCUGCCCCUUGCCCUGGUGGGACCCCUUGCCCCGGGCCUCCCCGCUGAGUGGCCGGCUCCACCUACGGCACCGCAGAGGCUGGGACUCCCAUCCUGCAGCCGGGUCCCUUUGGCACAUCUCCUGACCCCUUCAUGCCUCAGCUUUCUCACCUGUAGAGUGGGGCCCAGCACAGCUGUGAUUUGGGGAACACGGGCCCAGUCCGGCCGGCAGCGAACACCUACCACUCAGCAGCCACCGCCGAGUCUGCGCCAUCGAUCCCCAGGGACCGAAGGAAGCAACUGAAGGAACAGAUCACCUGGGAUCCCACGGCUAACUGCCGUCUGCACAUGUGCACGUCUGUGCCGAGCGGGACACGGUAAACCACGUCCCAGGUCACUCUGCCAGGGCCACCACAGCUGUGCUAUGGAAACCGAUGGUGCCAGACCACCUCCGGUGGCCCUGAGAGGUCCUUCAACCAUUUGGAGCUCAGAGAAGCCAGCCCCGUGCACCCAGAGAGAAGACGACAGUAAGCACGGAGCACGUGGCUCGGCACGCUGUGGCCCAGCAGUUCACGGCAGCCUGGCGGCCAGGACGGCACCAUGGGCCAGGCCGUGUUCACAGCACCCCAGCAGUAAUAACUCUGUUCUCCUUACAAGACCCCCAGGUCCACAGCUGACUUUAAUCUGCUUGCGGUGCAACGUAUAGAAAACGUGCUGCUUUCUGCGUGUGGAUGGACGAAGGCCCACUUUCCCAGCACCGUGGGCUCAACGACACCCUUCCUCUGAUCAACAGCCAUCAGCCCCGGUCGAUCACUUGGCCAUAUUCCUGGCUCUACUUUGGGAUCUCUUUUCUGUUCCAUUGGUCUGUAGCUCUGUCCUUUUGCCAGACUACUGUCCUGGUGGCUGUAACUGUACAACAAAUCAUGAAAUCAGAGUGUGAGUCCCUAAACUUUUGGCUAUUCUAGUUCCUCUGCUUUUCCACAUAAAAUCUUAGACCUACUUUGUAGACUUCUACCGAAACACCACCCAGAGGUCUGGAGUGGAAAUGCACUGAACGGGGGCUUGGUCAGAGGGGGGUCACCACACUAGCAUCACAGAGUCUCCAUGACACAAACACAACGUGCCUCCCCGUCCCUUCACGUGGUCUCUGGCGUCCUUUGUACCCGGCUCACAGGCCUCUACGUGCAGGUGUUGACGCCGGUACGUUUACGUCAGGCCCCUCCUCUGUCAGCGCCACUUAAGGCUCCAACCGUUCGUGGCCAAGGGGACAAAGAUGUCUCCGCAGAGUCCUGGCACACUGCCAGCAAACGCGCUUACGCUAGUAAGGUUCCCGUGGACCCACUGUGAGCCUGCGGACGGCAGUCGUAUCUUCACCCACACGGGGACUCUCAGUUCCUUCUCUCAGAUCGGCCCGGCCAGGACCCUCGGGACCACACUGAACAGGGGAGGUGAUGCCAGGCGUCCCUGCCCCACUAUCGGGCAUGAGGUCAGCCGUGGGCUCUAAUGACGCCUUCACGGGCUGAGAGGUCCCCUCAGUCCUUAGUUUGCUGACAGUCUGCAUGAGACGUGGUUACAGAAUUUUGCCAAAUGCUUUCUCUGCACAUACUGAGAUGAUCGCAUGGCUUUUCUUCUUUAAUCUGUUGACACGGUAAACUUUAUCUAUCGAUUUCUGAUCUGUUCCUUGGUGACGACGCAUUAACUUUGUCAUCCGCUGUGCCUGUGUGUGUGUACCCAUGUGACACGCUGGUACACGCUGCUUCACACAUUCGGUGCUAAAGUUUUAUGUUUUGCAUUUAUUUCAAGGGAGACGUUGGCACAUGUACCUUCGUCACGUAAAGCCUCUGCCUGCCUUGGUGCUCUGGCGACACUCGUGUCACGGGAGUGAGGAAGCAUCGCCCGGGCCUCAAUAUCUCUGGAAGUUUCUGCAGAAUUGCCACUGCGUCUUGCUUCAGUGUUUGACAGAAUUCACCACUGAAACCACGCGGGCCUGGGUUUUUUUGUCCCAAAGUGGUGGGCAAAGUUUAAUUUAACAGAUAGAGGACCGCUGAGUUCACGUACUUCUUGACUGUGAGCUUUGAUGCUCUGUUUUUCCAAAAACGGGCAACUCUCACAUAAAUCUCUGAAUUUAUUAGCAUGAAGUUGCUCACUGAUAGUCCCUUAUCUUUCUAAUGCCUGCAGGGUUGUUAGUGACGAUGCCCCACGUCAGAUCUCUGAAAUUGGUGAUUUUUAUCUUCCACCUUCAGAAAUGAGAUGGAGGAAAGCAACUUAAACCCAAAAUAAUCAAAAGAAAGCAAAACAUAAAAAGCAAAACAACCAACAAAUGAGGAAAAGAGGAAAACAAACAGAUGCAGCCCGUAAAACCCAAGGCAGGUUCUCCGAGCUGGUGAGGCUGGCGACGCUCCAGCUCCAAACGCCUGCUUUCUCCUCACUACGGGUCCCGCUUGCCCGCAUCCUUGCCUGUCUGGUCAUCUCCGGUCGGCUGUAAGCAAUGACCGCACCCUCCACCUUGCCGGGGCCCGCCUGGACGCCCCCCCCGGGGGGGGGGGGGGGGGGGCAGCCACAGGGCUGACCCUCCGUGGUCACUGUCCGGCCUGUGGGCUGGGCCUGAAAACCACAGUCUCGUGUCUCUUUUCCGGUUUCGGAGGGCACGUUUGGUGCCCACUCCCGCAGGUUACCUGGAGGCAGGACCGCUCCGCACAUCCAUCUCGGAAUCACACUCCAGAAAACGUGUGAAUGACGUUGACACGGCCAACAGAUUCGCAAGUCCAGAGUCCGGCGGAGCUCCCCUCUGGGCCACCUUGACCUUACCGAUCACUGAGCUGUUUUACGAUUCUGUCAAUUCUAAAUCCUGAUAACAAUGCAAAUGACUCUUGACCACAGGAACAAGGUGUCUGGUGGAAAGAACUGAUUACUGGCCUGUUUUCCAUCUCUUAGGCAAAUAAACUCACUCAGCUGCUAGAAGAAUCUGGGUUUGCUCUGGGGAGUCUUGCUUGAAGCAGGUCUAACUUCUCAUCUUACUUCUCUCGCUAACAAGUAAUACUUAUUACUGCAAUUUAAAACAUCUUCAACACUUGUUCAAUUUAUAUUCGUAUGAGAGACAUUAUAUCUGUGUUACAGUUUAUCUACACCAUUACAAUAAACUCCAAACAACCUAGGAAUCCAUCAACAGAACGGUGACUCUAAAAAGGCUGGUGUGUCCAGUUAACGAAAUCCUCUGAAGCCAUUAAAACAGGGAGCAUGCAUUCACUUGCACAGAAAGAUGUCCCGGCUCAGCUGUAACAACACAUGUGCCUGCAACCUGCUAAGGAGGUCGCCCUCUCCUCCGGGCACACAGCUGGUGAGACACGCGUUAGGGCGCGUGCGUCAAGCCGGAGGCAGAACGGGCUGGGGGUAUUUUAUUCACACUUUCUGCUUUGUGCAAUUUCCCCAGACUGUUAUUCAAGAAAGAACUGUUGAGCACACACCCCACGUGCCCGACACACGCCCAGUGCUCAGGACAAGCAUGAGCGGGAUGGCAAAGAGCCUACGUGCAAGCACACUACCAUCACACAGGGGAGAAAAGUUAAAACCGACUUCCCGGCAGCCUCGCCCGCAGUUUGGAGGGUCAGGGGUAGAGCAGGCAGCACGUCUGGGCACGGCCUCCUCAAGAGCUUUCCUGAGAACCCCACCAACAGGGGCCUGCAACCCCCAGCCCCAG